rnacentral:rRNA from 1 species
AUUGAACGCUGGCGGCAGGCCUAACACAUGCAAGUCGAGCGGAGCGGCGGACGGGUGAGUAAUGCCUAGGAAUCUGCCUGGUAGUGGGGGAUAACGUCCGGAAACGGGCGCUAAUAUCGCAUACUAUCAGAUGAGCCUAGGUUGGAUUAGCUAGUUGGUGGGGUAAAGGCCUACCAAGGCGACGAUCCGUAACUGGUCUGAGAGGAUGAUCAGUCACACUGGAACUGAGACACGGUCCAGACUCCUACGGGAGGCAGCAGUGGGGAAUAUUGGACAAGGGGCGAAAGCCUGAUCGAGCCAUGCCGCGUGUGUGAAGAAGGUCUUCGGAUUGUAAAGCACUUGAAGUUGGGAGGCGUUACCAACAGAGUAAGCACCGGCUAACUUCGUGCCAGCAGCCGCGGUAAUUC